rnacentral:rRNA from 1 species
UACGGAGGGAGCUAGCGUUAUUCGGAAUUACUGGGCGUAAAGCGCACGUAGGCGGCUUUGUAAGUUAGAGGUGAAAGCCCGGGGCUCAACUCCGGAAUUGCCUUUAAGACUGCAUCGCUAGAAUUGUGGAGAGGUAAGUGGAAUUCCGAGUGUAGAGGUGAAAUUCGUAGAUAUUCGGAAGAACACCAGUGGCGAAGGCGACUUACUGGACACAUAUUGACGCUGAGGUGCGAAAGCGUGGGGAGCAAACAGG